rfam:Canis lupus familiaris chromosome 4, whole genome shotgun sequence.
GUGCUUGCUUCAGCAGCACAUACAUUAAAAUUGGAGCGAUAUGGAGAAGAUUAGCAUGGCCCCUACACAAAGAUAACAUGCAAGUUUGUGAAACAUUCCGUAUUUUU